AUUGAACGCUGGCGGCAUGCCUCACACAUGCAAGUCGAACGGUAACGCGGGGCAACCUGGCGACGAGUGGCGAACGGGUGAGUAAUGCAUCGGAACGUGCCCAGUAGUGGGGGAUAGCCCGGCGAAAGCCGGAUUAAUACCGCAUACGACCUACGGGUGAAAGGGGGGGAUCGCAAGACCUCUCGCUAUUGGAGCGGCCGAUGUCAGAUUAGCUAGUUGGUGAGGUAAAGGCUCACCAAGGCGACGAUCUGUAGCUGGUCUGAGAGGACGACCAGCCACACUGGAACUGAGACACGGUCCAGACUCCUACGGGAGGCAGCAGUGGGGAAUUUUGGACAAUGGGCGCAAGCCUGAUCCAGCAAUGCCGCGUGCAGGAUGAAGGCCUUCGGGUUGUAAACUGCUUUUGUACGGAACGAAACGGUGAGCUCUAAUACAGUUUGCUAAUGACGGUACCGUAAGAAUAAGCACCGGCUAACUACGUGCCAGCCGCCGCCGUAAAAC
rnacentral:rRNA from 1 species